GCUAGGGGGAGCCAGUCCUGAAGCGAAGCUCCCCGAGUCAUCUGAAGUCACAUCAGAACGAGAUGGCAGAGGGGAAGAGCACAUGCAGUGGGCCCCCGAAGUGAAUGAACGAGGGAGAUGAAAGUCGGAGGCGCCACGAAGGGCCGAGAACGGAAAAAGUGGGGUAUCAUCAGAAAAACACUGAUGCCAGGGUUGCAAUCGCCAUGCUAAUCAGUCAGAAGGAGACCAGUGGCACAGACAUGAGUAGAUGGGAGUGACCGUCCAGGCUCUGUAAAGAUCAAUCAACUGAUCACUUCACUGAUCUAGCAGCAGUCAGGGAAGGAGCCUUUCUUACCCAGCCAACUCCCCCCAGGCAUAAGCGUGCGGGCAUGAAGAAAGGAUUACAUCCUGGCAAAGGUCCCAGCCCAGCAGCAAUGCCCAGGACAGGACCUUUUCCAUCUGCUAACAAGGUGCCACUUGAUUCAGACAGCAUGGCUAGAAAGGCGACAGGCCCAAGACCCUGGAUCGUUGUGUUGACAGCAGAGAGAAGAAUGCUGACCCACUGGGGGUGCUGAAUCCCCUCACCCAGAGAAGAGAGAACCUCCAAGUAGAC
rnacentral:lncRNA from 1 species